AUUUCACUGAGCUUAUCAAGUAUAUGUUCAUGUCCAUUUUGGUGCCAUCUGCCUUGUGGUAUUCUCAUAAUAAAUGAUAAAGGCUUCUGGUUCACAGGCAUUCGUGCCUCGUAUGGUGGAAAAUGAUAGGAAGAUUUUUGCUGUUAAGGGUGAGAAUUAUCAAGGUAUAGAGACUACAAAGCGAAGAUCGAAGGUGGGCUUAAUGGAUGGGAGGAGGUGAAAAAUGUAGUGGUUGAUCAUGUUACUAACUUUUGGGGUCUCUAUGAAUCCUAUGGUGUUGCAGGUUUGGAUGGGGAAUUGCAGUAAGAGUCUUGUGGCUAGAGUCCAGAGAGUAUCCUCUCUCAAUGUGUGCAAUUGUCUGCUGAAGGUGAUUUCAAGGUGAAAUAAAUAGCUUUCACCAAGCUAAGGAUGCUUAGCCAUACAUCUUCCAAACCGAUAGCCCACAAACAAGAUCGAAUCUUUUGCGCAAGGCAGAUAUUUUACUAUUUAGCCAUUGAGUCGAAUCUAAUAUUUUGUUUAAAUAUAUAUGCAUAAACUUCUAUGCUCAAGUAAUAAAUUCUAGACAAAAGGUACUAUAUUCAAAUCUGGAG
rnacentral:misc_RNA from 1 species